CCAAACACCAACCUUCAUAUCUCCGGCGUCAGAGCUGGGCGAAUCCAGCGACAGUAUACGCAUUGUGUCUAUAUUUUUAAACCCCCAGUAAAGCACUUUCAGAGUGAAAAAGGAGAAUACAGAGGCAUCAUUGCUUUCAUUGUCCAGCUAGCAGUUUGGGAUCUCUUGCUGUGACCAGAAUGCACCUCUAGUGUUUCAUGUUUCCUUUAUUGGCUGAGCUACCACUGCCGUUGACCAGCUGAAACACAGGGCUGAGAACCGGGCCUUGAACCGCCAAACUUAGAGUCAAGUGACAACAGUCAAAGACAUUACUACAACACCACCACAGCCAACAUGUUACAAUAUCUUCUAUACACAUAAAGAAAUAUGUUUAAAAUUAAUAGGGAAAAUAAUUUACCAA